rnacentral:tRNA from 1 species
GAGGGUACAGCUCAGCAGUAGGGCACAUGCUUAGCAUGCAUGAGGUCAGGUUCAAUCCCCAGUACCUCCA